CUCCCCUGUAGUAUAUCGGUUAGUACACGCGCCUGUCAUACUUCAAAGUCAUAUAUGGUUCGCGCGAAAGCUGGGUUCGACUCCCAGCCAGGGAGA